UACGUAGGGGGCUAGCGUUGUCCGGGAUCAUUGGGCGGAAAGCGCGUGUAGGCGGUCCGGUAAGUCCGCUGGGAAAGUCGGGGGCUCAACCCUCGAAUGCCGGUGGAUACUGUCGGGCUAGAGUGCGGAAGAGGCGAGUGGAAUUCCUGGUGUAGCGGUGAAAUGCGCAGAUAUCAGGAGGAACACCAAUUGCGAAGGCAGCUCGCUGGGACGUUACUGACGCUGAGACGCGAAAGCGUGGGGAGCAAACAGG
rnacentral:rRNA from 1 species